rnacentral:rRNA from 1 species
GAGGAAUAUUGGUCAAUGGGCGAGAGCCUGAACCAGCCAAGUAGCGUGCAGGAAGACGGCCCUAUGGGUUGUAAACUGCUUUUAUGUGGGGAUAAAGUGAGCUACGUGUAGUUUAUUGCAGGUACCACAUGAAUAAGGACCGGCUAAUUCCGUGCCAGCAGCCGCGGUAAUACGGAAGGUCCAGGCGUUAUCCGGAUUUAUUGGGUUUAAAGGGAGCGUAGGCCGUGGAUUAAGCGUGUUGUGAAAUGUAGACGCUCAACGUCUGAAUUGCAGCGCGAACUGGUUCACUUGAGUAUGCACAACGUAGGCGGAAUUCGUCGUGUAGCGGUGAAAUGCUUAGAUAUGACGAAGAACUCCGAUUGCGAAGGCAGCUGACGGGAGCGCAACUGACGCUGAAGCUCGAAGGUGCGGGUAUCGAACAGGAUUAGAUACCCUGGUAGUCCGCACAGUAAACGAUGGAUGCCCGCUGUUGGUACCUGGUAUCAGCGGCUAAGCGAAAGCAUUAAGCAUCCCACCUGGGGAGUACGCCGGCAACGGUG